UGUUGGAACUUAUGCGCUGGCCUUCUGUUAACGGGUCAGAUGGGGAACCAAGCAGCCACAUACAAUAAGACCAGGUGCCGUAGGCUUCUCUGGCAGUC
rnacentral:SRP_RNA from 1 species